rnacentral:rRNA from 1 species
UAUUAACUCUGGCGGCGUGCAUAACACAUGCAAGUCGAACGAUGAAACUUAACUGAUUUCUUCGGAAUGAUUUUAAGUGGAUUAGUGGCGGACGGGUGAGUAACGCGUGAGUAACCUGCCUUGGAGAAGGGGAUAGCCUUUGGAAACGAAGAAUAAUACCCUAUGAUAUGAUAAUAUCUCAUGAUAUUAUCAUCAAAGAUUUAUCGCUCUAAGAUGGACUUGCGUCUGAUUAGUUAGUUGGUGAGGUAACAGCUCACCAAGGCAGCGAUCAGUAGCCGGCUUGAGAGAGUGUACGGCCACAUUGGGACUGAGACACGGCCCAGACUCCUACGGGAGGCAGCAGUGGGGAAUUUUGCACAAUGGGGGAAACCCUGAUGCAGCGACGCCGCGUGAUUUAGAAGGCCUUCGGGUUGUAAAAAUCUUUUGUAUGGGAAGAAAAUGACAGUACCAUACGAAUAAGGACCGGCUAAUUACGUG